rnacentral:rRNA from 1 species
GACGAACGCUGGCGGCGUGCUUAACACAUGCAAGUCGAACGGAAAGGCUCCAUCUUGCUGGAGUCCUCGAGUGGCGAACGGGUGAGUAACACGUGGGUAAUCUGCCCUGCACUCUGGGAUAAGCCUGGGAAACUGGGUCUAAUACUGGAUAUGACCUUUCUCCUUAUGGGGUUUGGUGGAAAGUUUUUCGGUGUAGGAUGAGACCGCGGCCUAUCAGCUUGUUGGUGGGGUGAUGGCCUACCAAGGCGACGACGGGUAGCCGGCCUGAGAGGGUGAUCGGACACAUUGGGACUGAGCUACGGCCCAGACUCCUACGGGAGGCAGCAGUGGGGAAUAUUGCACAAUGGGCGGAAGCCUGAUGCAGCGACGCCGCGUGAGGGAUGACGGCAUUCGGGUUGUAAACCUCUUUCCGCAGGGACGAAGCGUAAGUGACGGUACCUGCAGAAGAAGCACCGGCUAACUACGUG